GGAUUUGAGUACUCCUCUGCGUGUCCAUUGAGCACCCCUAGUGGAAAAAUGGAAGGUGAUUUUGAGAUGAAGCACAUCGACAAAGCUGGGUCGUCUACAUUCAAUGUCGCAAUUGCACCAUUCUCUCUGUCAAUCCUUGGAGAUGACAACGAUGAUGUUCUCCUCUAAAUGUGAUUGGGUAUCAGAAUGAGUUUGAAUAAGAUGAUGUCACCAGCAAGGAAUUUGCAUAAUACACAAACACGAGUAGUGCUGUUAGUGAUGUGGCUAGAGUUCUCUACUGGAAACUCCUGCGAAUGCAAAUUUUUGUUAAGCUAGC
rnacentral:misc_RNA from 1 species